AUAGAAGAGGAAGCCGCAGCUCACCACGUUUAUGUAAUCUGCUUAAAGCCAUGGGUCUAGUUAGCAGAGAUGCCAGAAUCAAAGUCCAGGUUUCUGUGGUUCCAACGCCCAUGUUUGACAUUACUCCGAAAUUUAUGACUGAUAAAUAUCCCGCUUAGGAUAUUUUUUCCCCCCAGUCUGAAUGCCAUCUCUGUUUAAAUCCUGUUUUCCAAUUGAAUUUGAGGUGUUCCUGGAUUCCUACCUUUCCCCACCCCAUCACUCCUUGUUUCUGUGUAGCGUGUUGAAUAAAUAAAUCCAAAUUGAUUCCUUAGUGACAAUUACUGUCACUGUCAUGUCAGGUUUCUCUGAUUGGGCCUGUGGACUCCGAGGGAGUGGAACACGAGCCUGUGGGCGGAGGCCGGCCGGGGCUGUCCUGGUGCUUACUGCACCCUGCGAGUUCACGGAUGGGUAAGUGGCGCCUAGGUAGGCCAGCAGCAUUCGUGGCUGGUCUCUUCUCGAAGAGAUGCUGGGAGCACUUUCCUUCAAUAAUGCACACUCUGUAAUAAUUUAACGUUUAGCGUUCACGAGUGCGGGUCAACUCAGUGAAUGGCAUUCCGUUUCAGUGGCGGUAGGAGUGAACAGCGGUGGCCAAUGUGUGGUGGUGUCUGCCACCCGCUGCAGUGUACUCUGGAGUUUGAAGUUACGGUAAGCCUGCGAUUUAUUUGAAGUUAUAUUCCCUAUUGGAGUUAAUGAAAUGAUAAUGCUGGGGAAAUUAAGUUGAUUCUUCACAACAGCAGGAGUAAAAUCUAGAUCUUCAAGAUCAUUGUCUUUGCAAGAUGAUACUUCAUUUUGGUAAUUAAGUGGAAGAACAGGCCAGUAUUCUUGUCAAAGCAAUCCCAGAUGUUUCUAUCGUUUAGUGGCACACAAUGUGCCUGGCCUCCUCGUUCAUUCCACGCUCACCCAUUGACUCAACCAGAGCAACAGCCAGUCCUGCGAGCUCCACAGAUAGUAUAAUAAGGGCCCCUUCUGACAUUCGAGUCCGUCCUCCUCUAACCACCUUAUCGCUGGCAGAGCCUACUCAGGACAGGA